rnacentral:rRNA from 1 species
GACGAACGCUGGCGGCGUGCUUAACACAUGCGAGUCGAACGGAAAGGCCCUGCUUGCAGGGUACUCGAGUGGCGAACGGGUGAGUAACACGUGGGUGAUCUGCCCUGCACUUCGGGAUAAGCCUGGGAAACUGGGUCUAAUACCGGAUAGGAGCCAUUUUUAGUGUGAUGGUUGGAAAGUUUUUUCGGUGUAGGAUGAGCUCGCGGCCUAUCAGCUUGUUGGUGGGGUAAUGGCCUACCAAGGCGGCGACGGGUAGCCGGCCUGAGAGGGUGGACGGCCACAGUGGGACUGAGAGACGGCCCAGACUCCUACGGGAGGCAGCAGUGGGGAAUAUUGCACAAUGGGCGCAAGCCUGAUGCAGCGACGCCGCGUGGGGGAUGACGGCCUUCGGGUUGUAAACUCCUUUCGCUAGGGACGAAGCUUUUUGUGACGGUACCUAGAUAAGAAGCACCGGCUAACUACGUG